CACACCUGCUGUAGUCAUGUGAGCCCUGACACGUCAACAUAUCUUUCCUACGCUUAACACUUCAGAAGAAAAAGUCCUGAAAGAAAGGCAAAUUUAAACUGACAAGAGAGAAACCUCUCGAAGCAAAAGGAUAUUUUGCCAACUUAAACAAGCAUCAUGGGACGAGGUGAGAGUGAGGACUGGGAUUAUGAGCCUAAGGAGACAAGGACAACUCAGCCGAAGAAACACGAGGACAAAGAUGACAAAAGCUCAGAGGGUGGAGGCUGUCCAAAGUGCUGCUUGAGGACCAGGGACUGUCUUAUGAGCGCAGAAUGUGGCAGGGCGUUGCAAAUCUCCAGUGUUGUGGCUUUCUGUGGAAUGUGCAUCAGAGCAUGGACAUGAUAAAUUCUACGGGAUCAAGACCUUCAGAACUUCCAUUUAAAUUAUGAAGGAUCAUUCAGUCUUCUGUUUAAGACACUUUUUCAGAUAAUAAAUAAUAUAGUUUAACUUUAUUUUGCUCUUAACUUUAGCAGGUAUUUAAAAAAUAAAUGUGUGCAGUAUUUUUACUAAAAGUGCUUCUUAAUUUGAUGCUGAGCUAAAUUUGCAUCCUUUCAUCAAACCAUGGAGACAAGCUAGAUAUUUGUUGAUGUUUUAACUACCUUGUAUUAUAGUCUCUUAACUUUGUUUAUGUUUGUAACGUGGUUGUUUCUGUAUCUCUAUCUAUAAAACCUAACUUUGAAUAAUCUUGUAUUUUUAUUUAUUGCAAUUAACCAGAAGAUAGAAAAAGCUUAUUUUAACAUCUAUUAAACAAAGAAUAAAUGUUCAUAUGUUUAAAGAGAAUUAUUUAAGUUAUUUUUCCAAAGACUUGGGUCAAAUGUCAGAGAUAAAAUAUUACAAAAUAAAGUAAAAUUAUUGUUCUUGAAAAGCCA